CUGUCCAACACAAUCUUAAUCAUUGAUUGAUGUCCCUGCAGCUGUACUCUCCAUCUCCCUGGACAAAGACAAAGACUACAUUUCUUGAAUUUCCUUUGGGAUCAAUAAAGUAUCUAUCUAUCUAUCUAAGACAUGGACACAUGUGGAACUGAGUUUGACUCCAGCGAGAUAACUCAGCUUCAGAGCCACAUGUCCAAGGAAGCAAGGCUCCAACUGGAAAGCCUUAGAGAGUGAGGACUUUGUUGUUAGGCGCCUGUAAUCCCUGACAACUUUUUGAAAAAUGUAAAUAGUUAAUUGUCUGCUAUGCAUACAAAUAAAAACGAUAUAUCAUU